rnacentral:rRNA from 1 species
UACAGAGGUCUCAAGCGUUGUUCGGAUUCAUUGGGCGUAAGGGGUGCGUAGGUGGCGCUGUAAGUCAGAUGUGAAAUUUCGGAGCUUAACUCCGAAACUGCAUUUGAUACUGCGGUGCUUGAGGACUGGAGAGGAGAUUGGAAUUCACGGUGUAGCAGUGAAAUGCGUAGAUAUCGUGAGGAAGACCAGUGGCGAAGGCGGAUCUCUGGACAGUUCCUGACACUGAGGCACGAAGGCCAGGGGAGCAAACGGG